GUCCCUGACUUGUUUCAAUUAGGAUAAUGCCUUCAAGGUCAUCCAUAUGUUGCAAAUGGAUUCUCUCAGUGGUGUCCAGUUCUUAUUAUUCUUGGAGGGAGAGCAAAAGUCAGGAACAACCUAUGUCAUCAUCUUCGUGACAUCACUUCCCACCUCGUGUAUUUGAGGGAAGAAAGAAGCCCUUGGAUAAUCUUCUUAAGCACCUCAAAAAAGACCAUUUCCUGUCAGGUAAAUUCCAAGGAACAAGACCAAGGAACAAGAGGAAGCACUCGAUGGCUGAGGAAGUAAAAAAAAAAAUUCAAAAUGCCUGUUAGUGUGUGAAGGAUUUGAUGCAAUUCCAGACAAAACUUCAAUGGGAUAUCUUGGAACUUCAGAAGUUAUUUUAAAGUUCUUUCCAGAUAAGGAGUAUACUACUAUUAUGAAAAGUAAAGUGAAAAAACAAGUGUGAGAACUGAAUGUGUAGUAUAAACCAAUUUAUAUAAAAAUUGGUGGUAAGGAAAUAGAUACUAUGUAUGUUCUUAUAAAUAUAUACAUGGACAAUUUCUGGAAAAAUAUAAUCAAAAGGAGUUAACAGUGGCCCUUGUUGAAGGGGACAUAGUGCAUGGUGAGGGGGAGGACUUUCUGUUUGUGUUAUACCCUUCAAUAUCAUUUGCAUUAUUUUUAUGACCAUGUUGUGCUGUUAUAAUUUCUAGAACUUCUUUAUAUCCAUGUCUUAAACACAAUCAGGGAAUAAUUCUCACUGAAAAUAUUUGUAGAAGUAAAACAACAAAUAUAUGUUUGAAAGCCAUCUGGUUAAGUAUUGGUCCUAGAGUAUUAAAGCAUAUUAUAACAUAAAAUUAUAAACACCUUUAAAUUCUAGGAAAAGAAGACACUGUUGGUGACACAAAAUAUCCCAGAAAUAAAUUUGAAUAUAAUAUAAAAUCAAUACAAAGGAUAUGUCACUAAUAAAUGGAAAAAUAAGAAGUUAUUCAAUCUGGAGCAAUAGUUUAGCAGUUUGGGGGAAAAUCAUGUAGAUUCUCACCUCAUAUCAAACAUCAAAAUAAAUCCCAGAUGGUUUGAGUUAAAUAUAUAAAAACAAAUCAAAAUAGAAAAAAUAGAAGUGAAUAUUUAUCAAACUUUUGAAAGGAGACAACUGAAAAGCAAUGGAAAAAAUAGUAAAUGUCUAGUUAUGUGAACAUCUGAAAUUUCUUUCCUUGCCCAAAGAAGAACCAUGACUACAAGGAAAAGACAAACAUAAACCUGGAGUGGGGAAAAAUCACAAUUAAUUUGAUAGCACUGUUAUAAAUUUGGUAAAAUACCAAGACUUAAAUUGAUGUUGAUAUUCAAUUGAACCAUGUAUAUGCUAUGUUUUUUCCCUACACAUAUAUACCAAUAAUAAGGUUAAAUGCACAAAUUAGGCACAGAGAUUAAUAACUAAUAAUAAAAUAGAAAAAUUGUAACAAUGUAUUAUAAUAAAAGUUAUAGGAAUGUCAUCUCUUUUUCUUUCUCUCAGUAUAUCUUAUUGUACAAUACUUAACCCUUCUUGUGAUGAGAUGAUAAAAUACCUACAUGGUGAGAUGAAGUGAGAUGACUGAUGUAGGCAUUAUGAUAUGACAGUAGGUUACUAUUGAUCUUCUGAUGUUACAUCAGGAGGCAGAUCAUCUGCUUCCAGACACAGUUGACUGCGGGAACCUGAACCCAAGGAAAGUGAGACUGCGGAUAAGUGGGGGGACUGCUGUACAAGGAUCAUAAGAGACUACUGCAAACAAGGAAAAGCCAGCAAAUUAGACAACCAAGAAAAAAAUGGAUAAAUUCCUGGGGACAUACAAGACUGAGUCUUGAAGAAAUAGAAAAUGUGAACAGACCAAUAAUGAGUAAGGAGACUGAAUCAGUGAUCAAAAGCCUCUCAACAAAGAAAAACCCAGGACUAGAUUGCUUCACUGAUGAGUUUUGCCAAACACUUAAAGAGAAUUAAGGCCAGUCCUCACUCUUCUGAAAUGUUGAGGAGAAACGAAUGUUCCCAAACUCAUUUUACAAGGCCAGUAUUAUGCUGACACGAAAGCCAAGUAAAUUCACUACAAAAAAAGAACAUAAUAGGCCAAUAUCUCUGAUGAAUUUAGAUGCAAAAAUUCUUAAUAAAAUACUAGCAAAUUGAAUUCAGCUACACUUUAGAAGGAUCAUACACUAUGAUCGAGUGGGAUUU